GCAACACUUUUAUUACAGCAUAAAAUAUAAGCCUGUGAUUGUGAGUCGGAGUAGGCUCCGUACUGUGAGUAGGGUUUACGUAGGUGUAUUGACUGCGAUUAACCCCUUGUUCCACUUUAAGGGUGAUAUGCUUUACAACAACAAAAAAACUCAGCAUACAGUAUUACCAGUGUUCUUGUACAUUCAACACCUUGCAUGUGAAACAGCCAUACUUUAGUAGUCAAUAAGUUAUUUAAUAGGUUGAUUAUAUUCUGGUCUGUUACAGGAAAUCUUUGUUUUUUGUUAAAUGGCUUGGAUGAGUGAUAUUAAUAUGGAACUUCAUCUCAACAUGAUAAUGGUAGUGCUCAUUCAGCUAUGAAAAGCGAGCUACUGUAUACUAGGUUCAGUUACGUCAGGUUCAGUUACGCAAAAUGAGCUCUGAGGAUAGGAAGUAUCAAUAAAUAGAUAUAUUACAUCAAUAUCUGCCCGGAUGUGGUGUUAGGAGCUGAUACUGUACAUAGUGCUCUCUGGAUGCCUGGGUAUUUGCACAUCCUCAGUACAAGUCGCCUAGAAUCCAGGGGCGAAAAUCUGAUAUCAACUUUGGAGGGGACAAUUACAUUACAUUUUCUCAAGAGCAAUUCCUGAGGGGGACACCAAAAGUAGUGCUGUAACACAUAGCCUACGUUUAAUAUGGUAAAUGUAUAUUGAGGAACCAAAGAAAUAAGGUGUUUGCCGUACUCCUAACUACUGGUACCCAAAACUACACAACUAAUCACAACAGCAAUACCAUUGCCUUUAACAAAUCUUAGUUCAGUCACCAGUUUAAGUUGAGAGUGGGGGUAUCCAUGGCAUUUUCCAAUUAUGUUCCUAUUUUACAAGUCAAAAAAAUGGAGAACCUUUCAUAAUGUUGCCAAACAAAGACUCAACAAACUGACCUGAGACUCCCUGUCUCUGCCAGUCUGUCCCUGCAUAUCUGUCCCCAACUCUGCUGUCUGUGUGCCAUCUGUUGCCUGCUCUGCCUAAUGACAUCAUUGUGAAACAUUUCCAUUAGAAUUUCAUUUCUUUCUUAUGAACAUUUUAUCAACUAGUCUUUGAGAUAUUAGGCUACUAGGGUUCUUACUUUGCGUUUUGGUGUACUGAAAAAUACUCUGAUGUCUGUCAUUUUUCUGCCAUUUUUCUACCUGGUUGGCUACACACACACAGUACGUAGGUUAUUUACAGUAGGAGAUGGCCUUCUAUCAUCUUAUCUUCUAUCAUUCUAUAUGGGCUUCGAUCUAAAAGGUAGCUAGCAAAUGUGAAACGGAUUGCAGUGACAAGAGUUGACAGCUGUAUGAGUUCACCAUUUACACAACAUAUGCUGCAAACUUUUGUAAUUUUAAUUGUUUGUUUCAUAUUGGCUGGCUUCUAACAAUAGCUGAAUUUGCAAAGCUAGCGAGCACCAAUUCAGUGGUGUUUGCUAUAAUCUUUGCUACCCGGGUUAAAUAAAGGUGAAAUAAAAUAUAUAAAUAAAAGUUCCCUUGCGACAAUUUAGCUUUUGCAACGAGACCAUUAAAUAUAUUUAAAAAAAUGGUAGAAGAGAGUGUAGUUCUGCUCAGUUUAUCGCUAACCUUAUCACAGGGACUUUGAAGCACUAACUUACAUGCAUGCUGAUCUUGAAAUAAAUUGACGAUAGCAAAGAUUCCAUCUUUGACGACGCCACAUAAAUGGAAUAGGUACUAGCUAGCUUAAUAGUUAAUAUUUGCGUGCUAGCUCUGCAUAUUCAGCUAGUGUGUGUGCGCGAUUGACUGGAUUAACCUCACGUCAGUUACGUGCAUUGAGUGCCUUUCAGACAGUAGAUACGACCUCUA
rnacentral:lncRNA from 1 species